rnacentral:rRNA from 1 species
GACGAACGCUGGCGGCGUGCUUAACGCAUGCAAGUCGAGCGGUAAGGCCCUUUCGGGGGUACACGAGCGGCGAACGGGUGAGUAACACGUGGGUGACCUGCCCUCAGCUCUGGGAUAAGCCUGGGAAACCGGGUCUAAUACCGGAUAUGACUCCAUGACGCAUGUUGUGGGGUGGAAAGCCUUGUGCGGCUGAGGAUGGGCCCGCGGCCUAUCAGCUUGUUGGUGGGGUGAUGGCCUACCAAGGCGACGACGGGUAGCCGGCCUGAGAGGGCGACCGGCCACACUGGGGGCUGAGACACGGCCCAGACUCCUACGGGAGGCAGCAGUGGGGGAAUCUUGCGCAAAUGGGGCGAAAGCCUGACGCAGCGACGCCGCGUGAGGGAUGACGGCCUGGU